GUUUUUGUGAUGAAGUGUUCACCAAUGAGAAUGGGCCCAGAAAAAAGGGCUCUACUACGACGACACCUACUCCCCUAUACAGCUGCCAACCUUCUGGCAAUCGAGACUUUAUUGCAGUUCGAGCAGGUUGAUUGUGUAUUCUCUCUCACGGACAUCCGAGCAUCUCCAGCCAACAGAAUGACCCGCGCUGUCUUAUCCAUCCUGGUGAUGUUUGUGUGUCUUGCACAUACGCGGGAGACACUGGAUGACUUCAAGAUGGUGAUUGAAGAUGUCGAAUUGUACAUCAAUUCCUUGAAGGAAGAAGAUUUUGAGAUGGUUGCUAACAGCUUCAUAGACCAGUAUAUGCGUAUAACGGACAAUGUAUUCAACAACCUACAAUUCAUUGGGCCUGAGUUUGCGGUAGCCAAUAAGAUAUUUGAGGCAUUGAUUGAGAUUAUCCCUGAACUAAAAGCUAAAUGGCUCAAGUCCCCUGAAGACUAUAAGCUUUUUUGGGAGUACAUCCAGAAGGCAAUCGACGGAAUCAAAGUCUUGCAUGAAAUCAUGGUGAUCAAAGAUGAAUUAUAAUCACACCUUCUUAACCUUAGCAUUAGUUAAUGCAGUAAUGAGCAUUAUUAUAUAGCAUUAGCAUAGGGGUUAGAGUGAGUUGGUUCAUCAUCGUCACUGAGUCACACAGGAUGAUGGAGGCUGGAACCUGUUGGCCCGUGGCAGAAAGUGUCAGUCAGGGUCAGAUAGUUUAGGUUUCUGGCUGCUUUAUUUGUUGUUUUUGUGGUUGUAUCAAGGUUUAACUGAGUGAACAUCUGUAAAAAUGUCAUGAUGUUUUAGGUUUUGGGUCUUUCUUUUCACAACAUCUGUUCUGUCUGCCUUUGUACAAGAUAUUGUAAACUCUCCUUAAUUACAGGUUGCAUUUAAAAGGUUAGUUCAAACAUUUGAAGAAAUAAAUGUUUUUGUCACUUCUUGGUAUUCUUAUUUGAUUGGACUAUUUCCCUCUAAACUCAUCCAUCUUUCUGUGUUGUUGUUUUUUCUUGCC
ensembl:lncRNA